AGGUUUUGACUACCAGUCCUGUCCAGAAUGGUCAACCUGUUUGAACCAUCCUGUGUACUCACUAUGGAAGCAAGCUUCUCAGAAUUUUGCAAUGGCAGCAUGCGGAAAUAUUACAGUCUUGCUAAAUGGAUCAAUUCAUCAUGCUUACAACAAAAAAAGCAUGUUUGGCAGUGUGGAACUGGACAAUCUAAACCCAAGGAUGGUCAGCCAUGUUUACAUUAAAGUUGUCUACAACCUGGAGGGACC